rnacentral:rRNA from 1 species
UACGUAGGUGGCAAGCGUUGUCCGGAAUUAUUGGGCGUAAAGCGCGCGCAGGUGGUUCCUUAAGUCUGAUGUGAAAGCCCACGGCUCAACCGUGGAGGGUCAUUGGAAACUGGGGAACUUGAGUGCAGAAGAGGAAAGUGGAAUUCCAAGUGUAGCGGUGAAAUGCGUAGAGAUUUGGAGGAACACCAGCGGCGAAGGCGACUUUCUGGUCUGUAACUGACACUGAGGCGCGAAAGCGUGGGGAGCAAACAGG